rnacentral:rRNA from 1 species
CCUACGGGCGGCAGCAGUGAGGAAUAUUGGUCAAUGGACGAGAGCCUGAACCAGCCAAGUAGCGUGAAGGAUGACUGCUCUAUGGGUUGUAAACUUCUUUUAUAUGGGAAUAAAAUGUUCCACGUGUGGGAUUUUGUAUGUACCAUAUGAAUAAGGAUCGGCUAACUCCGUGCCAGCAGCCGCGGUAAUACGGAGGAUCCGAGCGUUAUCCGGAUUUAUUGGGUUUAAAGGGAGCGUAGGUGGAUUGUUAAGUCAGUUGUGAAAGUUUGCGGCUCAACCGUAAAAUUGCAGUUGAAACUGGCAGUCUUGAGUACAGUAGAGGUGGGCGGAAUUCGUGGUGUAGCGGUGAAAUGCUUAGAUAUCACGAAGAACUCCGAUUGCGAAGGCAGCUCACUGGACUGCAACUGACACUGAGGCUCGAAAGUGUGGGUAUCAAACAGGAUUAGAUACCCGUGUAGUC